UUUAAUAGUCGAACAGACUAGCUUACAGAGCUACUACACUAAGUAGCACCUUUAAUUCAACAUCGAGGUCACAAGAUCUUUUAUCAAUUAGGCCUCUCUAAAAGCAUUGUGCUGUUAUCCCUGAGGUAACUCAUCUUAAACUUGUUAGAGACCAUAGUGAAACUAUAUAAUUGGUUUAUAAAUUAGAUUUGUUAAUUUACCGCCCCAGUUUGACCCAACAUUAAACAGGCACCCAGAUUGUUUGGACCUAAGUCGCUUAUAAGUCAGCUCUGCAGGGUCUUAUCUUCCCAUUGACUGGGAUUGGAGUUUUAAUCAAAACCUUAAGUUAUAGUUUUACAGGUUUACAAGUCGUCUUUCAUGAGCCCCUUCAUUCUAGACCCCAAUUAAGGGCCAAGUUAUUAUGCUACCUUUGCACAGUUAAGG
rnacentral:rRNA from 1 species